CACUUCCGGAGUAGGAUCGGAGCCGGAGGGAUCCGGAUCAGGUGCCACCAUGAAGCUCUGCCUGGUGCUGGUGGCAGCCACGGUGCUGCUGGGCUGUGGGGCGGAGCCUCCCACCACCACGGCCACACCCCCUCCGACUGAGACCACGC